AGCAUGAAUCAGCAGCCAGGGCGCUGCGGCGGCUGGGGCUGGCCACAGGCCUCCCUGCAGCCCCACGCCUGAGGAGCCACAGCACCGGAUUACAGGGCUGCCACCGUGUUAAAGGAAAAGCCGGGCCCUGUGUCUCCAAGGGACCGGCUCUGCCGGGCAGACGCCCACAGCCAGCACCACCUGCACCGGCGGGAGAUGAGCUCAGGCCGCCCCCACUCUCCCCCUCCACGCCCCUGCACCGCGCGGCGUGGGAACUAGAACAGCCAGUGGCAAAUGUCUGAUUAACUCAAGCUCCAUGACUACCAUCAAAAGAUCUUCACAGCUCCUCACCUCCCCGAGUCAUCCAAAAUCAGGACAGUUAUGACCAGCUUUACUAUUUCAAGUCCCAACAGACUUCCCCAUUGAGGAAUACAAGCAUACCUCAGAGAUAUGGUGGGUUUUGUCCCAGACCACCACAAUGAAGUGAGUCACAUGAAUUUUCUGGUUUCCUAAUGCAUGCAGAAGUUAUAUGUACUCUACACUAUACCAUAUAACUAUUCUGUAGUCUGUUAAGCGUGCAAUAGCAUUAUGUCUAAAAAGACAAUGUACAUACCUUAAAUAAAAAUAUUUUAUUGUUAAAAAAUGCUGACCAUCAUCUGAGCCUUCAGGGAGUCAAAAUCUUUGUGCUGGUGGAGGGUCUUGCCUUGGCGGUGGUGGCUGCUGAAGGCUGGGGUGGCCGUGGCCUUUUCUUAAAACAAGACAACAGUGAAGUCCGCCGCAUCGAUUGACUCUUCCUUUCACGAAUGAUUUCUCUAGCAGGCAAUGCUGUUCGACAACAUUUUACCCACAGGAGAACUUCUUUCAAAAUUGGAGUCAAUCCUCUCAAACCCUGCUGCUAAGUUUAUGUAAUAUUUAAAUCCUCUGCUGUCAUUUCAGCAAUCUUCACCAGAAGAUUCCACCUCAAGAAAUCACUCUGCUCAUCCAUAAGAAGCAACUCCUCAUCCGUUAAAAGUUUUAUAUUUAUAACAAAUAUAAUAAUAAUGAAAAGGUCUGAAAUAUUGGGAGAAGUACCAAAAUGUGUGACACCAAGACCUGAAGUGAGCAGACAGUGCUGGGAAAAUGGCGCUGCAAGGCCUGCUUGACAGAGGGCUGCCGCAGACCUCCAACUUGUAGGAAACACAGUAUCUGUGAAGCAUGGUAAAGCAAAGCACAAUAAAGUGAGGUACAGCCUGCAAUUAGACCAGAGGGAAAACAACACCCAAACCUCAGAAGGGGUGAACCCGGCAACACAGCCACCUGUCAGAAACGCCUGCAUCAGAAACUGCCCGUGAAGACAGCGUAACAAGGGGCAAGAGGUCCAGUGAGGGGAUGAAACGGAAUCCAAAACAGAUGCAUGCAUGAGAACCGAGCACUGCCACACGCUCACCACAGAUGCAGACUAGAAGCCACACCUGGCUGCAACAUCAACAAGCCUCAGCACUCAGCCCCUGCCUGCAUUAGCACUGACUAUUCAUGACAGCAACUUCUCCAAAGAGCCCUCAACUCUUCCAUGAAUGUAAACUCAACCCCCAGUUUACACCCAGCCUCUGAAUCCACCCUCAAAAUCAUAGCCUUGCAGUUUCCACCAAUCCUGACUAUCCUCACCCAGUCCUAAUCAAGACUCCCACCCCACUUUCUCACUUUGAAAGACCCACCUUAUAUCAAACUUCUAAUUCUCAGCAAGUUCUGGCCUCACCACCCCCUCCGAGAGGCUGUCAGAGCUUUGGAGGUGGUGCUGUCCCUCCCGAGCUGAGCAAUACCCAGCCGUCUCACCAACAGAUGACAUGGUGGU